GCUUCUAUAGCUCAACGGGUAGAGUUAACACUGUUAAUAUUAUGAUAGAUGUUCGAUUCAUCUUAGAGGCG
rnacentral:tRNA from 1 species